rnacentral:rRNA from 1 species
UACGUAGGGGGCAAGCGUUGUCCGGAUUUAUUGGGCGUAAAGCGCUCGCAGGUGGUUCGUCGCGUCGUGCGUGAAAGACCCCGGCUCAACUGGGGAGGGUCGUGCGAUACGGGCGGACUGGAGGCCAGUAGGGGGAUGCGGAAUUCCGGGUGUAGUGGUGGAAUGCGUAGAGAUCCGGAGGAACACCAGCGGCGAAGGCGGCAUCCUGGACUGGUCCUGACACUCAUGAGCGAAAGCGUGGGGGAGCGAUCCGG